CCUCGCGGCUGUCAGCUGUGGCCCGGGGGCGCCCGGGCGGGGUGGCGGUGGCCAUUGGCCCAGAGGCGGUCCAGGGUGGGGUCUCCGUGCGCCGCUGCCGCUUCCAGCUGGGCCGGGCGAGUAGAGGCGUCCGCGGGCCGGGGCGACCCGGGCAGGGAUGCAUCGAACCGGCUUGGCCAUGGCAGAGGCGCCACUGAAAGUGUGCAUCGUGGGCUCGGGGAACUGGGCAAUGAUGAGGGCCCCGAGGGGCUGAAGAUCAUCUCCAAUAUCCUCGAGAAGAUGAGCAUCAACAUCGGUGUGCUGAUGGGUGCCAAUAUAGCCAGCGAGGUGGCUGCCGAGAAGUUCUGUGAGACCACCAUUAGUGAACCACCCAGGAGAGACAUGGAAGUCUCUCCUGCAUAUUCCCCCCCUCCUUGCUCUCCCCUGUGCUGCUAGAGUGGAACCCAGGGCCUGGCGCAUGCUCCACCCCAGAGCUGCCCCAGCCCAUUCCUCAGACUGUCUGUGGUGGGCCUGGGAGUGGGCGGGUUAUGUGCAGAACCAUUCUGUGCCUCUGAAGUGGUCCAGCCACACCAGAGUGAAUGGAGAAUCGGAAGGAUGACCUGAUCCACCUGGAAGGGGGACCAAUGCAUAAAAAGGACCUCAGAGACCAGAGGCUAGCAUGAAGUUCAUGGAAAACGUACCCCUGGAUACUCAUAAGUUCCAUAUAGGAUAUUUAUAGUUUGUUUCAUUGCGGUUCCCCCUUGGUUUUCAUUUUAAAUGUAUGUACAUUUUAGUCACUUUCUUAGGGAAAAUAAAAGUAAUCUUUUUUGUUUUUCGCUUGGUA